rnacentral:rRNA from 1 species
GUGAGGAAUUUUCCGCAAUGGGCGAAAGCCUGACGGAGCAAUGCCGCGUGAAGGAUGAAGGCCUAUGGGUUGUAAACUUCUUUUCUCAGAAAAGAAUUAUGACGGUAUCUGAGGAAUAAGCAUCGGCUAACUCUGUGCCAGCAGCCGCGGUAAGACAGAGGAUGCAAGCGUUAUCCGGAAUGAUUGGGCGUAAAGCGGCUGUAGGUUGUUUAAAAAGUAUUCUGUCAAAGAUUAGGGCUUAACCCUAGAUAGGCAGAAUAAACAUUUAAGCUAGAGUUUGGUAGAGGCAGAGGGAAUUCCCGGUGGAGCGGUGAAAUGCGUAGAUAUCGGGAGGAACACCAAAGGCGAAGGCACUCUGCUGGGCCAAUACUAACACUGAGAGACGAAAGCGAGGGGAGCAAAUGGGAUUAGAUACCCCUGUAGUCC